CAUUUCAGCCAUGGCAACAGUGACAGUUGGUCACCUCUGCUGGUGCAGAUUACUGCAAGUAUUCAUUGCUGGUGAACACGAAUAAGUGAUGGUGGUCAGAAGCUUAUUAUCAACAAUUUGAGAACAUGAAGGAGAAGAUGAUUUUAGAUGAUGUCAUUUACAUGGAUAUGCAAGGCUCUUGACAUGGUCCCCACCACAUUCUUAUCUCCAAAUUGCAGACGUGGAUUUGAUGGAUGGACCACCUGGUGGUGAUCAAUGGUUCUGUGACCAGGUGGAGGCCAGUAAUGAGUGAUGUCCUCCAGGGGUCUGUCUUGGGACAGUGCUUUGUAACAUCUGUAUCAAUGACAUCGAUGUAGGA